CCUGGCGGUGAGAGCGUGGUGGUCCCACCUGACCCCAUGCCGAACUCAGAAGUGAAACGCCGUAGCGCCGAUGGUAGUGUGGGGUCUCCCCAUGUGAGAGUAGGGAACUGCCAGGC
rnacentral:rRNA from 1 species